rnacentral:rRNA from 1 species
UACGUAGGUGGCAAGCGUUGUCCGGAUUUAUUGGGCGUAAAGGGUGCGCAGGCGGAUAUUUAAGUGGGAUGUGAAAUCCCCGGGCUUAACCUGGGGGCUGCAUUCCAAACUGGAUAUCUAGAGUGCAGGAGAGGAGAAUGGAAUUCCUAGUGUAGCGGUGAAAUGCGUAGAGAUUAGGAAGAACACCAGUGGCGAAGGCGAUUCUCUGGACUGUAACUGACGCUGAGGCACGAAAGCGUGGGUAGCAAAC